GACGAACCGUGCAAACGUUGUUCGGAAUCACUGGGCUUAAAGGGCGCGUAGGCGGGUUUCCAAGUCUGUGGUGAAAUCCUCCAGCUUAACUGUGGGCGUGCGGUCGAUACGGGCAUCACUGGAGUUCGGCAGGGGAGACUGGAAUUCCUGGUGUAGCGGUGAAAUGCGCAGAUAUCAGGAGGAACACCGGUGGCGAAGGCGGGUCUCUGGGCCGAUACUGACGCUGAGGAGCGAAAGCGUGGGGAGCAAACAGG
rnacentral:rRNA from 1 species